rnacentral:lncRNA from 1 species
AACCAUUGGCUGGAAGAUCGUUUAGGCACUCUCCUAUAGAGUCGAGGUUUUCACAUUGAAGGACUUGUGAGGCAGAAAGGGAUAGGAGCUCAUACAACUUGGCAAAGGCAUUGGAUUCGGCCGCGCUCGUCGAAGGCUCGUCUAACGCGGCAGAUGACCCGGCUACUCCAAAAGUAUUCAAGAGGAAAGCGUCAAGCUCGACUUCCCAUGAAGGCUGCACAUGAAAAGAUUUUAGGCAAAAGGAAAAUCGUAAAGAAUAUAGUAGAGAGAAUUUGUUUUAGACCUGCCGAGAGGAGACUUCGACCAUGUCCUCUGGUUCAUUGCUCGAACCUAGAAAGCUUAAUGGUUAAGCCCAGUGUUUAAGACUGCUUCUCAAUUCACGCGGCCGAUGAAGGUUAUCUACGUUCGACGACCACUGAGGUAGCCAUGAAAUAUAGAUAACACCAUUCGACGCAUAGAAUUUUCAAUGAAAUGAAUAAUCGGGCACUUGACAUUUAAUAUUUUUUCUCGGUUCAGACUUGUUAUAGUAAAAUUAACGAAAGAAAAUGAUCAAGCCUCACAAAGGCCAAAGUAACUU